rnacentral:sRNA from 1 species
ACUUGAAGCAAUCCCAAUAAAAUGGUAAAAGUAUUUUUGAAUUGACAUGCUUGGUAUACAAUUUAGGACAAGGCAUAGACAUGUGACAGUUACUGAGAAAAUGUCAUGUUAGGACAGGUUCAAAUUGGUGGUAUCUAUACAUUACAAAUCAGAAUCCAAAAGCUGAGGACAGAAUAGAAAAGCGUAUUAUAUUGUUAUGUAAAAACAAACAAAUAUUAACAGGGUUGGAUCUAGGAUCAAAUGAGUAAAUGCAAAAUAGGUAAUAAAUAAAUAUACACAUAAGGAAAUAUAAAUGAUACAAUUUCUAACACCAAACUAACUUCCUGUUUAGUCAUUAACACCAGUAACAAGAAAAUAAAAAUAAAAAAGCCUUAUCUCUUCCUUCCUUAUAGAUUGACAUUACUCUACCUUCUGAGGUGGAGGACGGUACUACAUCAUGCACAGCACAGGUCCCCCGCGAAGCAGCGGACUAUGGAACAUUCCAGCAAUGAACAGUUCAUCUGUCACAGAUUUUCUUUGUUAUUUUUGUUUCUUGCUCCUUGCACCCGUAGGGAGAAACGUGUGCCAGGGUGAGGGAAGUGUGAGGUUGCUUUGGCUUUGAUGAACCAGAUGGAAGAUUCCCUUGCAGAAGAUACGAUAGAGGCAUCUGUGAGCUGAGAGAAGGAAUAACUGUUAAGGAAGGAUGUCCACCAUUAUGUGCCAGAAGACAAUUCCAUCAAAGGUCUGAGAAGUGGCUGACAACCCACUCUGGCACAUCAAGUCACUGCAAGACGUGGUACAUCCAAUCAUACCGAGGCCAAACAAGAUUGCCCAGUCGUGGGAGGAGGAUACACAGACAGAAAACAGAGUCAGGCCUAUGCCUGGUUCUCGUUGCCAUGUUGACAACUGGAGGUUCCACCAAAACCGGGAAAGAGAAGAUUUCUUGACAGGAUCGUCCCGGGACACAGGCCAACCGAGAAGGAGGGACAUACUGAGUGAUGUUUUGAAAGACCCCCCCAUGAGUCUUAACUCAGAGCUGCAACUGGCUUGAAGGAGCCCAGGUACGCCCAGAUACCUAGGGCUGAGUCACUAACAGACCAUAAAAGGAAAGGAAUGCAGAACAGACCAGGAG